CCUACGGGGGGCUGCAGUGGGGAAUAUUGGACAAUGGGGGCAACCCUGAUCCAGCCAUGCCGCGUGUGUGAAGAAGGCCCUCGGGUUGUAAAGCACUUUCAGUGAGGAAGAACGCCUGGUGGUUAAUACCCAUCAGGAAAGACAUCACUCACAGAAGAAGCACCGGCUAACUCCGUGCCAGCAGCCGCGGUAAUACGGAGGGUGCGAGCGUUAAUCGGAAUUACUGGGCGUAAAGCGCGCGUAGGUGGCUUGAUAAGCCGGUUGUGAAAGCCCCGGGCUCAACCUGGGAACGGCAUCCGGAACUGUCAAGCUAGAGCGCAGGAGAGGAAGGUAGAAUUCCCGGUGUAGCGGUGAAAUGCGUAGAGAUCGGGAGGAAUACCAGUGGCGAAGGCGGCCUUCUGGACUGACACUGACACUGAGGUGCGAAAGCGUGGGUAGCAAACAGGAUUAGAUACCCUAGUAGUC
rnacentral:rRNA from 1 species